rnacentral:tRNA from 1 species
GGUUGUGGCUCAGUGGUAGAGCACUUGCCUUGCAUGCAUGGGGCUUUAGGUUUAAUUCUCAGCACCA